UACGGGGGGAGCAAGCGUUGUUCGGAUUUACUGGGCGUAAAGGGCGCGUAGGCGGCGCAACAAGUCACUUGUGAAAUCUCCGGGCUUAACCCGGAGCGGCCAAGUGAUACUGUCGUGCUAGAGUGCGGAAGGGGCUACUGGAAUUCUCGGUGUAGCGGUGAAAUGCGUAGAUAUCGAGAGGAACACCGGUGGCGAAGGCGGAUCUCUGGGCCUGUCCUGACGCUGAGGCGCGAAAGCUAGGGGAGCGAACAGG
rnacentral:rRNA from 1 species